GCCAGACUCCUACGGGAGGCAGCAGUGGGGGACAUUGCACAAUGGGGGAAACCCUGAUGCAGCGACGCCGCGUGAGUGAAGAAGUAUUUCGGUAUGUAAAGCUCUAUCAGCAGGGAAGAAAAUGACGGUACCUGACUAAGAAGCCCCGGCUAACUACGUGCCAGCAGCCGCGGUAAUACGUAGGGGGCAAGCGUUAUCCGGAUUUACUGGGUGUAAAGGGAGCGUAGACGGUGAUGCAAGUCAGAAGUGAAAGCCCGCGGCUCAACUGCGGGACUGCUUUUGAAACUGUAUAACUAGAGUGCAGGAGAGGUAAGCGGAAUUCCUAGUGUAGCGGUGAAAUGCGUAGAUAUUAGGAGGAACACCAGUGGCGAAGGCGGCUUACUGGACUGUAACUGACGUUGAGGCUCGAAAGCGUGGGGAGCAAACAGGAUUAGAUACCCCCGUAA
rnacentral:rRNA from 1 species